GUAGUAGUAGUUAUACCACUUGUAGUACUAGCUAUACCAGUAAUGGUACUAGUUAACACUAGUACUUGAUAACAGUAAUAGUACUAGUUAACAGUAGUAGUAGACGUUAUACCAGUAGUAGUACUAGUUAACAGUAGUAGUACUAGUUAUAAUAAAGUGAGGCUGUCCUUUCCUUUCCAGAUGAUGAUGACUCCAAGAGUCUGGAUAGCAUAAUGGGAACCGGAGCCCAUGCAGGCAGCAGCCCGUCCCGGGGCCCGGGACACAGCGCGUUCCCCGGGGCCGGAGCCCAGAGGCCCUCGGACCACGUUGUGUUUCCCAGCGGUUCAUCCCUGCUGCUGGAGGCCAGCGACAACAACAACGCCCGAUCACAAGGUACCGGAAAGCCUCCCGUACAUACAUACAGUAUAUAUAUAUAUUAGAGCUGUCAAGCGAUUAAAAUAUUUAAUCGUGAUUAAUCGCAUUAAUGUCAUAGUUAACUCUAAUUAAUCGCGAUUAAUCAUAAAUUAUUUUUCUAUGCUAAAUAUCCCUUGAUUUUUUUGUCCCAUAAUUCUUCUCAUUUUAAUUCUCUUAUCAACAUGGUGAAGUGAAUCGGCUUGCCUUGUGCAAAUGAUUUUUUAUUGAUAACAACAUUGGCAUAUACACUGAUCAAAACAGG
rnacentral:lncRNA from 1 species